UGGGGAAUAUUGCACAAUGGGCGCAAGCCUGAUGCAGCCAUGCCGCGUGUAUGAAGAAGGCCUUCGGGUUGUAAAGUACUUUCAGUCGGGAGGAAGGUGGUAAGGUUAAUAACCUUAUCAAUUGACGUUACCGACAGAAGACGCACCGGCUAACACCGUGCCAGCAGCCGCGGUAAUACGGAGGGUGCAAGCGUUAAUCGGAAUUACUGGGAGUAAAGCGCACGCAUGCGGUUGAUUGAGUCAGAUGUGAAAUCCCCGGGCUUAACCCGGGAAUUGCAUCUGAUACUGGUCAGCUAGAGUCUCGUAGAGGGGGGUAGAAUUCCAUGUGUAGCGGUGAAAUGCGUAGAGAUGUGGAGGAAUACCGGUGGCGAAGGCGGCCCCCUGGACAAAGACUGACGCUCAGGUGCGAAAGCGUGGGGAGCAAACAGG
rnacentral:rRNA from 1 species